rnacentral:lncRNA from 1 species
CUACAGCGAUCCUUUCUACAUGCGUCUCCCUUCUGCAGGCUUCUUAAAAAAUGAGAAGAUAGAAGAAGGGUUUUCAAGACUUGACUGGAUGAAACCCCAAGGAACCUGAUCAAUAUUCAAAGAUAUAUAAUCAGCAAGGAAUUGUCUUUAUCAGUCAGUAAAGUACCGUGUGUCACCCAUUGUAAGGACCUAAUGCCAUGUUGAAGUAUUGCAGGACAGUAAAAG